rnacentral:rRNA from 1 species
GACGAACGCUGGCGGCGUGCUUAAUACAUGCAAGUCGAACGGAAAGGCCCUGCUUUUGUGGGGUGCUCGAGUGGCGAACGGGUGAGUAACACGUGAGUAACCUGCCCUUGACUUUGGGAUAACCUCAGGAAACUGGGGCUAAUACCGGAUAGGAGCUCCUGCUGCAUGGUGGGGGUUGGAAAGUUUCGGCGGUUGGGGAUGGACUCGCGGCUUAUCAGCUUGUUGGUGGGGUAGUGGCUUACCAAGGCUUUGACGGGUAGCCGGCCUGAGAGGGUGACCGGCCACAUUGGGACUGAGAUACGGCCCAGACUCCUACGGGAGGCAGCAGUGGGGAAUAUUGCACAAUGGGCGGAAGCCUGAUGCAGCAACGCCGCGUGCGGGAUGACGGCCUUCGGGUUGUAAACCGCUUUCGCCUGUGACGAAGCGUGAGUGACGGUAAUGGGUAAAGAAGCACCGGCUAACUACGUGCCAGCAGCCGCGGUGAUACGUAGGGUGCGAGCGUUGUCCGGAUUUAUUGGGCGUAAAGGGCUCGUAGGUGGUUGAUCGCGUCGGAAGUGUAAUCUUGGGGCUUAACCCUGAGCGUGCUUUCGAUACGGGUUGACUUGAGGAAGGUAGGGGAGAAUGGAAUUCCUGGUGGAGCGGUGGAAUGCGCAGAUAUCAGGAGGAACACCAGUGGCGAAGGCGGUUCUCUGGGCCUUUCCUGACGCUGAGGAGCGAAAGCGUGGGGAGCGAACAGGCUUAGAUACCCUGGUAGUCCACGCUGUAAACGGUGGGUACUAGGUGUGGGGUCCAUUCCACGGGUUCCGUGCCGUAGCUAACGCUUUAAGUACCCCGCCUGGGGAGUACGGCCGCAAGGCUAAAACUCAAAGGAAUUGACGGGGCCCCGCACAAGCGGCGGAGCAUGCGGAUUAAUUCGAUGCAACGCGUAGAACCUUACCUGGGUUUGACAUGGAUCGGGAGUGCUCAGAGAUGGGUGUGCCUCUUUUGGGGUCGGUUCACAGGUGGUGCAUGGCCGUCGUCAGCUCGUGUCGUGAGAUGUUGGGUUAAGUCCCGCAACGAGCGCAACCCUUGUUCACUGUUGCCAGCACGUUAUGGUGGGGACUCAGUGGAGACCGCCGGGGUCAACUCGGAGGAAGGUGGGGAUGGCGUCAAGUCAUCAUGCCCCUUAUGUCCAGGGCUUCACGCAUGCUACAAUGGCUGGUACAGAGAGUGGCGAGCCUGUGAGGGUGAGCGAAUCUCGGAAAGUCGGUCUCAGUUCGGAUUGGGGUCUGCAACUCGACCUCAUGAAGUCGGAGUCGCUAGUAAUCGCAGAUCAGCAACGCUGCGGUGAAUACGUUCCCGGG